UUCUUCGGGGCGGGGCGAAAUUCCCCACCGGCAGUUAUAGUCUGCGAGCGCAAGCCGAUGCGGUGAAAUUCCGCGACCGACGGUAUAGUCCGGAUGGUAGAAGAU
rnacentral:ncRNA from 1 species